AUGAGUUUUGCUGUUGACACGCAGUUAUUGCUUUCAUGCCCAUUGCAUUGUGUCGCUGCUCCUCCCCAGGUUGCGCACCACCUUGACCAUGGCCAGAACCAGCUGCUUACCCUCACUGCCGUCAUGUUGUUUGGCUCAUUUUGCGGCCUCCUGCCCAGCUUGAUCAAGACAGCUGUGCACAUCCUUUAUAUUGCCGCGGCGAUCAUCAUCGCUGAGGCUGUGCACAUCCUUUAUAUUGCCGCGGCGAUCAUCAUCGCUGAGGCUGUGCACACUCACAUUCUUGGACCGAUGAUGUAUGGUGUUGCUGAUCAAGAUUCAGGCAAGCACCUUUCCUUCCCAUCGUGCUGCUGCUACCCAGCUCAGGCACUGUCAUGGCUACAACAGUUUGCAGUUUGCUUAGGUCAGGGAACAUCUUCUGGACCUUCUCAUAUGUCGUCUACAUAUUUCAGCUUUAUUGAGCUUAAACGCUUUUACAGGUACAUUUGUUUUGAUCCACAAGCUCACCGGGUGUCCCAUUGGCUGGGUUUGGAUCUAUGGGCCAGGAGGGCAAAGUCCACCUUGAAACGCUCGGCCCAUGUUCUGAAGGAAGGAGGGAUGCUUUUGAAUAUUAGAUUAUUUCUCUCCUUCCAGAUACUGUAA
rnacentral:rRNA from 1 species